rnacentral:lncRNA from 1 species
GGCAAACCAUCAUCUUGGAAACUCAUGGAUUCGGGUCAGAUUCCACCGUCAAGAACAGCCACGAUCACAUCUUGGCCUAAACCAGAAGCUGGCCAUAGCCCAGAUGAAGGAUUGAGCUUGAGGAAAUCAGAAGUGUAAGUAGUGUGAGGUUCCACAGUUCUGUCUUUGUAUGCUGAAAUGAAACCUGGUGACUUUUUCAAAGCUUUCAGUUCAUCUUUGGACAAAACAGCACUGAAUCCAUGAAACACAUUGUCAUAGGAAUAAACAAGUUUUGGAGCAGAGUGGAAUCUGCCUACUGAUGAAGGAAUUACAGAGGCUUUGAUGGAAUCAAUAGUGGAAGAAUGCCAAUGAUGGUGAUCAGCAAAUACAUUAGGCAUUAAGGACUUGUCAAGGUGGACAAUGUAAGUGGAUCUUUGUGCUAUAGCUAAGAAGAGAUGAGCAGAAAGGAACCAUGAAAGCAAGAUCAGAUAUGGAGAACAUGGAAACCAAAUAUUUCUAGAUUCCAUGUUCAUCACUUACUACACACUAGUGUUCUUAAGACACCAAAUAUUCAUUCAAUGCAAACUUGAGAAGCAGGAAUACACCUUUGACGAUUUGGAUUGAUCAAAGUUGUCAGGGGUAAAAAAAAUCGGCAAUGUUGGGAAUUUUUUUGGCACAAAGUAGCUCCUACUACAUACAUUAUUUAUUCCCAUAUCUUUUUGAUAGGAAAAAUACUUUUCAUUCAGUAUUUAUACAUAAUUCCCCUUAGUCUUGUAUAGUGUACUUGCAGCUCAAGAAUCUGAUGGCCUUAGUCUUCGUUACCCCAGACCUCGAUUAUGGGAGACGUUACUAUAGGACUCCUAACAGAGUGGUUACCCUUCUCUUCAACCCAAGUGAUCGACCCAAAGUUCGUACUCUGAUCACUAUCACCUAUAUAUCGAAUUGUCAAACUAUAACUUUGCUUAUCAUUUUUCCCCUUGAACACCAGAGUUCGUGGAGACACUGAAACUGUGGAAUUCUUAGGAGUUUCAAUCUUCACAUUAUAAGUUGUUCCACCUCUACCAACAUUUGUAAGGGUCCUCCUGAAUUUCUGCUCCAACCAGGUGAAGUUCCCCUCCAGGCUAUAUGGGUUCAAUGCAAUGAAUGAUGGAUAGUUGAGAUCAGCUGAUGGAUUUGAGCAGUUAUCGUAAUUGGCUGAUGAUCUUGCAAAUGUUUUGAAUUGCUCUUCUGUGAAAUUCAUAGAGCAUAUAAGAUUUAUGUAAUCUUGUGGAGUGGCAUCAUAUACAAGCCUGGGAUCAAGAGCUCUGUUUGGGUCAACAUGCCCUGCACCCAUAUCUAGGGGUGUGGCUACCCAAUUAUUAUCGUCUUUAAUAGGUUUUUUAGUACUAUCCAAAUGGUUUGCUGUGGUCAUCAUGGCGGAGCGAAUUGCAGAAGGACUCCAUUCAGGAUGUGCACCUUUUAGCAUUGCUGCAAUUCCAGCUACAUGAGGGGCAGCCAUGGAUGUGCCUGAUUUAAGUUCGUAAUCACUGGAUAGUUCUAAGUUCGUCUGAAUACUUUGUGAAAAGAGAUUAGGUGGAAAUGCUGCAAGAAUCAGUACCCCUGGUGCCAUAAUAUCUGGCUUUGCGAUUCCCAAGUAGCUUCUGGAGGGCCCUCGUGCUGAGCUUCCAGCAAGAACUGGGGCAGGCCUACCAUCCACAUAAGUUUCUUGGAACGUGAUUGUAGCCGUUGGAGAAACACUGUUUUUUACGUAAUUGAUGAUUUGUUUCCCUUCCUUUUUGUCAACCACAACGCCUGGGUAGGGAAAUGAAGAAGACCUGAAAACUCCUGGAUCCUCAGAAAUAAAGAUGCCUGCUUUGAGUCUUGCUCCAAUGACAUGAGAAAUUUGACUAGAGAAACCCCAACCCUCUUCAUCUGCAUUGUAAUCACAGAUGAUGAUGGUGCGUUCGGGAUCAGAAACUUGUGAUAACAAUUCAACUGAAUCACAAGCGGCCAGAGUCUUGUUGUAAAUCACCGGAGAAUCCCUGACAAAGGCUCUUGCAGGAAAUAAGCUCCAUCCCCUAAUUCUCAACCCAUUUCCCAAAGUCAAAGUUCCUGAAAAUCUUCUGUCAGUGUGGCCUGCUGCCACACACAAGAUCCAUUGCUUAAACUUCCCACGCUUGGACCUUGAUUUCCAGCUGAUGUUGAAACUAGCACUCCCUUCAUCAUAGCUCCAAAAGAAGCGAUUGAUAUAGCAUCUUCAUAUAACGGAAUGAAACGGUAACCAAAAGAAAUGGAUAUCAUGUCAACACCGUCUGCAACAGAUUGGUCCAUAGCAGCAAUUAAAUCUGAUGUAAAAGUUCCUUCAUUGAAGCUAGACUUGUACACAGCUAUCCUAGCUCGUGGAGCAGUCCCUCUUGCUGUUCCUGGUGCAUAUCCAAAAUGGGAAAUACCUUUCGCAAAGUUCCCAGCAGCAAUGGAAGCGCAAUGUGUGCCGUGACCAUCAGUAUCCCUGGCAGAAUUCAUGGAAAUGUUCACAGUGGGAUCAUUCGCCAAAAUACCCUUUGGGGAUUUCUGGCAAACCAUCAUCUUGGAAACUCAUGGAUUCGGGUCAGAUUCCACCGUCAAGAACAGCCACGAUCACAUCUUGGCCUAAACCAGAAGCUGGCCAUAGCCCAGAUGAAGGAUUGAGCUUGAGGAAAUCAGAAGUGUAAGUAGUGUGAGGUUCCACAGUUCUGUCUUUGUAUGCUGAAAUGAAACCUGGUGACUUUUUCAAAGCUUUCAGUUCAUCUUUGGACAAAACAGCACUGAAUCCAUGAAACACAUUGUCAUAGGAAUAAACAAGUUUUGGAGCAGAGUGGAAUCUGCCUACUGAUGAAGGAAUUACAGAGGCUUUGAUGGAAUCAAUAGUGGAAGAAUGCCAAUGAUGGUGAUCAGCAAAUACAUUAGGCAUUAAGGACUUGUCAAGGUGGACAAUGUAAGUGGAUCUUUGUGCUAUAGCUAAGAAGAGAUGAGCAGAAAGGAACCAUGAAAGCAAGAUCAGAUAUGGAGAACAUGGAAACCAAAUAUUUCUAGAUUCCAUGUUCAUCACUUACUACACACUAGUGUUCUUAAG